UAGGGAAUCUUCGGCAAUGGGGGGAACCCUGACCGAGCAACGCCGCGUGAGUGAAGAAGGAUUUCGGUUCGUAAAACUCUGUUGUUAGAGAAGAACAGCGCAUAGAGUAACUGUUAUGCGUGUGACGGUAUCUAACCAGAAAGCCACGGCUAACUACGUGCCAGCAGCCGCGGUAAUACGUAGGUGGCAAGCGUUGUCCGGAUUUAUUGGGCGUAAAGCGAGCGCAGGCGGUCAAUUAAGUCUGAUGUGAAAGCCCCCGGCUCAACCGGGGAGGGUCAUUGGAAACUGGUUGACUUGAGUGCAGAAGAGGGGAGUGGAAUUCCAUGUGUAGCGGUGAAAUGCGUAGAUAUAUGGAGGAACACCAGUGGCGAAGGCGACUCUCUGGUCUGUAACUGACGCUGAGGUUCGAAAGCGUGGGUAGCAAACAGG
rnacentral:rRNA from 1 species